UCAGAACGAGCGCUGGCGGCGUGCUUAACACAUGCAAGUCGGAUGCGAACGGCGCUUUCGGGCGUUGAGUAGCAUGGCAGACGGGUGAGGAGCGCGUAUCUGACUGGACUCAGGCUGGGGGAUAGUCCCUCGAAAGGGGGUUGAAUACCGCAUGUGCUCGGUGCUGUGAGGGCAUCGAGGAAAGUUGGCCUCUGCGGGCACGCUGAUGGCCUGAGACAGGGAUGCGUCCUAUUAGCUAGCUGGUGGGGUAAGGGCCUACCAGGGCGACGAUGGGUAGCUGGUCUGAGAGGAUGAUCAGCCACACUGGGACUGCGACACGGCCCAGACUCCUACGGGAGGCAGCAGUGGGGAAUUUUGCGCAAUGGGCGCAAGCCUGACGCAGCAACGCCGCGUGCAUGACGACGCCUUUCGAGGUGUAAAGUGCUGUCGACCGGGACGAAGGGGCGAGGGUGAACAGCUUUCGCGCAUGACGGUACCGGUGGAGGAAGCCCCGGCUAACUCCGUGCCAGCAGCCGCGGUAAGACGGAGGGGGCGAGCGUUGUUCGGAAUUACUGGGCGUAAAGCGCGCGUAGGCGGUGCAGCAAGUGGUGCGUGAAAGCCCUCGGCUUAACCGGGGACGGGCGUGCCAAACUGUUGGACUGGAGUGCCGGAGGGGGAGGCGGAAUUCCUGGUGGAGCGGUGAGAUGCGUAGAGAUCAGGAAGAACGUCGGUGGCGAAGGCGGCCUCCUGGACGGACACUGACGCUGAGGUGCGACAGCGUGG
rnacentral:rRNA from 1 species